CAUGUAUCCAAUGUUUACUGUUUGAAUGAUGGGGAUUAACUCUGAUUUCCAGGGGAAUUUAACUACAAGGAAAUAACCAACCUCAUCAUUUGAUUUACAAGUUUGUAUACUAGCUGAUCGGUUACAACAUUGGUAGCAACUUUAUUGGAGAUCCCUAAAUCAUAUCCGAUUGAAAACAUACGUGAGAGCUACCUAUCGGCUGUCACUGAUCUACUUUACUGCACAAUUCUACAGUUGCU